CUUUGGCGCUGUUGGCGACGGUGGGGAGAGCUGUAGAGUGUGAAGUUCCUUGUCUGCUGGCAGCCAGAGGCGACGAGUCUGGACCUCAUGGAAGUCCAGACUCUAGUCUGGACGCGUCCCUUUUGACGGCGUUUCGCUCUUAUCACCCAGGCUGCAGUGCAAUGGCACGAUCUCGGCUGACUGCAACCUCUACCUCCUGGGUUCAAGCGAUUCUCCUGCCUCAGACUCCUGACUAGCUGGGACUACAGGAAGGAUGUCGAUUCUGCGCUUCUCAGUAACUACGUGACGUGAAAAUACAUAUCAAAAACACUGUGCAGGCACCAGAGUCCUGAGAUUGUCAGAGAAUUUCUCACAGCAAUGAAAAGCCACAAGUUGACCAAAGUUGGGGCUUUCCCAUGUGCCAAGACUGGUCUCGAAAUACUGGACUCAAGCAAUCCCCCCACCUUGACCUCCCAAAGUGCUGGGAUUACAGGCCGAGCUAUGACACCCAGCCUUCAGUUAUACAUUUCAAAGAACAUAAAAUAAUUUCCAUUAUAUUCAUUUAUUCUUUCACUCAUCUAAAUACUUAUUGAGCAUGUACUGUGUGCACUGACGCUACGUGCCGGGGAUCCAGAAGUGAACGAGCCAGACGAGGUGCUGCCCUUGUGGACCUUAAAUUCUAUUUAGGGAAGAGAAACAAUAAACAUGUAAACACA